CGUCGAGUCCCGAACGUUCUGGACGGAACGGGUUAUUGUUACUGAUGGAAAGGGGCGGAAAAGAUUGGUGUUGAAUGUAUGACAAUAUCUAUAAAUAAAGUGAUCUGAAGAGACUAAUGUGUCUUUCUCUUCUGUUAUCAAAUAUCCGAUUAUUCGGACCAGCUCGG